rnacentral:lncRNA from 8 species
CAAUUGACCACAACUCCAUGUCCUUUAUAACCUAAACUUUUAUAACCCAGAAUCAGGUCAUCCAAAUAUAAUCCCUAACCCCAACUACAGUUUGUAAAAAGUGGUACUGACUCAAAAUCAGACUCAUCUACUGUAAUCCUGACCUCAACCCAUCAGUGUUAAAAAGUCAUGAUGGAUCCGGAAUCAUUUUACCUCACCCUAAUCCAGACCACAGCCACUUUGUGUGCCACUGACAAUCGUUGAGUAUGUUUGGUUUACACCCCUUGGCACAUUGAGGCAAAGGAGAGCUCCCCCCUACUACCGCCUCCCUCCUUUCUCUCUUCCCCCACCCCUCACUCCCUCCCCUAUCCCACACACUCACACACCACGUUCAUUCAGAGCCCAGUUUGGAGUCUGAUCACUCACUCUCACUCUCUCUGUCUGGAGCAACAUGCACAGGCUGACCCACUACCGCUUUCUCUUGGUCUGCUUGACUGGAGUGCUGCUGUUGCUACCUCUCUGCUGGGGCCAAAAUGAAUAUGAUGACUACGGUGACACAACGCCGACAUCGGACUACGACUACAAUGCCACCUUUGAAUACACCUUUUUCAGUAUGUUAAAACCUUUACUUUUAUACAUUUUGACCGAUGUGUUUAUCCCCGUUGGGGACAACAUAAUUACAACAAAAAAAAAUGUAAUCUGCUUCUUUGUGUUUGUGUUUAAUUCUUUGAAAUACAGUAAGUACUGGAAAGUUACCUCGCAAAUAAAAAGUAUUGUUCACUAGGUAACACUAGUACUGAGGACCUGGACAAGUUUCUAAGUGGAAGUGAAGAGGAGGAUGAUAAGGGAGAAGAUAUGGAGGAAGAGGAAGACACAACCUUCUCGACCGCUAUGUCGACCACAGUCAGCAGCAGAGUCACGGCGAAGGUAUCCCAUCAUAUUGCUGCAGUCGUUUGUGUCUGAUUAGACUCCCUUUUAUCUCCCAAAUGAAAGGUCUAUCAUAUAUAGUUGACCUUUGAGUCAUAUAUGGUUGACCUUUGAGUCAUAUAUGGUUGACCUUUGAGUCAUAUAUGGUUGACCUUUGAGUCAUAUAUAGUUGACCUUUGAGUCAUAUAUAGUUGACCUUUGAGUCAUUUAUGGUUGACCUUUGAGUCAUAUGUCUUUUAAGAUGGAGGCUUAAACCAAAAUCCGCAUACCUCUGCCCUGAGAACACUGAUGUCACACUGACCUGUUCCAUGCUUGCGGAAGUUACGAGGAUGGUUACUUGUGUUUUACGUGGGUGUGUGGAUUACCCAGGGGCAAACCAGCACUGGAGAGAUUUGAUGGGUUCAUUUGGAACAGUAAAAUUACUAGGAAUCACAGCAAUUUUUGGAGCCACUUCUCCUGCUAUUUCCACUACAGUAUUGUGUUUUCGUUCAUUUCAAAUAAACAGCAUUUCUACAUCCAAAUCUUAACUGGCAGCAAGAACAAACUAUGACAACCCACUUUUGUUGAGUUAACCUAGUCCUAUUUCAAAAUGAGUGGAUAGCUUUACCAAAAUGAUAACUGUACUUGGUUAUUAAACAUUUUAAGUCCUUAGACAGGCAUACUUUCCC